ACGGGUGAGUAACGCGUGGGAACAUACCCCUCGGUUCGGAAUAACUCAGGGAAACUUGAGCUAAUACCGGAUACGUCCGAGGUUUUAAUCGACCUUGGAGAAAGAUUUAUCGCCGGAGGAUUGGCCCGCGUCUGAUUAGCUUGUUGGUGAGGUAAUGGCUCACCAAGGCCACGAUCAGUAGCUGGUCUGAGAGGAUGAUCAGCCACAUUGGGACUGAGACACGGCCCGA
rnacentral:rRNA from 1 species